rnacentral:ribozyme from 1 species
GCCAUCCAGAUAUGCUGCCUCUACGUGGCGGAUGGCAGGCAACGAGGAAAUAUCUCGGCUAAAGCAUAU